rnacentral:tRNA from 1 species
GGGAGGGUGGCCGAGCGGUCUAAGGCGCUACGUUAAGGCCGUAGUCUCGAAAGGGGCGCGAGUUCGAAUCUCGCCCCUCUCA